GGGUGGCUGGGAAAGUCUGUGUAGUCACUCCCUGGGAGAAGGGAGGUGUGUUUGGGUUGGCAAACCACGCAGGAGCCAGGAAGAGACUUCAACCCUCUUGGCUGAAGGCCCCAUCAUUCUGCGAUCCCAGAAGCUCUGGCCUCUUUAGUCCCUCAAGUGAUGGAUAACUUAGGGGUUCUCUGCCCCUCCCUUUACAGCCCAGUAACCCUUUGGAAAAUGUCUCUCUCAAAGCUCAAGACCUACUUCAGGAGGUGCCUGACCUGGGGGAUCCCUGGGCCUGAUUUGCAGAUGUGCUGAAUGCUCCCAACUGCAGCCAAAGUCAAUCAGAGCUGGGCAUUGAACAUAUAACGUGCUAUACAGUGCUGUGCCCUCUGAAAAAUCAGGCCUUAGGCCUUUCAAACUGGGCACCCAGAAUUAGCUGAGCAUUUUCCAUCGUAUUUCUUCUUUCACAGCUGAUUUUAAAGUGGGGACUAAUUGAUCGGCUUUGAGCUAAUGGUUUUGAUGGAGAAUAUUGAUUGGCAAUGCAAACCUGACCUCCCAGAUUUGUCCACACACACUGCUACAGGAAAAUCUGCUAACCCUCGCGGGCCAGAAGUCAGUGCAGGAUUCUGAAUCCUCUGUGCACCUUCUUGCCCCCCACUCACCCACAGAUGGGUUCUGCCCCAGAUGUCCCUUGCCCACUGCAUGUUCACUGGCUGGCUUAGACCUGUCAUGAGGAAUGGAGACAAGGUGAAGAGAGGGGACAGUUUCAACAGAUGAUCGAAAGGGGCAAUUUUGGUGAUUAAAGAUGGUUGUGCUCCUCGUUUUCCACAAUCACACAUCCCCAGCAUACACAAAUACUGUACAUUGCAUCAGAGUAAUGCCUUCCUUUGUCCCUCUGUGGAAAUCUUGGCUGCAAAAUCUGCCUCAGACUACACGUGAAAUGAGUUCUGUCAGCUCAGUUUAAUCACUAAUGAAUACUUCUCCAUAUGGCUAUGCCACAGCAUAGCUACUACUCCUAGCAUAAAUGGCAGUCUGAGCAGAGGCCCAGGGGCUAGCAUACCGGGGUUAGGGAGGCUGCAGGUCAGGAUGGGGGUGAACUGGUAGAGCUGGUGGAUCCAGGACUAGAAUAGCAGAGAGUGCCACUGUGGCUUAAGAGUGAGCUGCAUUGGUGGAGCUGUGAGAAGCUUUAGGACUGGAAUCACAGGGGAGAUCUACACAUCUGGAUUAUGGCAAAGUUGUGGAAAGACAGUGGAGUGAAGAGCAGGGCUGGAAUAGCAGGGAUCACUACAGGUCAGGACUGAGGUGUAUCAGAUAAGGACUGAAGUGAAUUGCUUAACCUUUCAGGGCAGGGCUGGAACAGCAGAGGGUUCUGUGGGUUAGGUCUCGGGUACAUUGGCAGAGGUGCAAGUGGAUGCAGGUUUGGACUAGGAGUAGGUGCAACAGGAUUGGAAAGGGUGUGUGUGUGUGUAGCUCAGGGCUGGAAUAGCAGGGAAGGCCUGAAGAGCAUGGGCAGAACUGGCUGAUAGGCAAACCUGCAGGCUUCUCCUUUGUGCUAGCUCAGUUUAGUAUAUCCCUACAGACCAGGGACACGUGAAGCCCACAUUUUAGCAAUGCACCAUCCCUGCCAACUCUCUCGCCCAGCACCAAUGCUGAGCCUGCGCCAGGGCCGGUUGGCUACUUGUCAACUCUUUUUUCUUCUUCUUGUCACUGGGCUAAAGCUCAUUUGAUUCUAUUAACAGAGGUUUUCACACUGAGCCUGGGAUUUAAAUUGGCAAACUCAGGUUUGAUGCAGUGUGUUGUCAGAGCCUCUUAUGCCCAUAAUGAGACUGUGAUGAAUGGCCCUUUGUUACCCAUUCUGCAGCAGCAGCCUCUGGAGCCAGUUCACGCUAAUGCUAACCACAUGAAAGCCGAGGACGAGGCUGAAGGAAGAGGAAACCCAAGUACUGGCAUGAGAGGCUGUUGGCCAUGAAGGCUCUAGCCCAACAUAAUUACUGACUUAAUUACUCAUGAAAAACUAUGGUAAAAGGACAUGAGUAAGGCUGCGAAGUCAAGCAAAAGCUAGGAAAUGCCAGGAUUCAGGUUGCCUGUGCAAUCUCAGUGGGGCUCCCCUGUAGACAUACAUUAUGUUACUGUGAUGGGAAGCAGCAUAGACUAGUGGGUAAGCCACUGGAUUAAAACUCAGGAAACCUGUCCUCCAUUCCUGGCUCUGCCACUGGACUCCUGGGUAGGCCAUUUCCCCUUCUGUAAAAUGGGGCUAGCCAGCUGGUCGGUACAGCAUUUUGCAAUCUAUGGAUGAAAGCUGCUAUAAGAGCUGAGUGUUGUUAUUAUCUUAGCUUCCCAAGUGGAGAAAAUUAGUCAAAUCAGAUACCAGGCAGUCCUGUGGCCCUGUGGCCUGCAGAUGAGAUGCAGACUUGUGGAGAGACGGACAGGGAGCAGGAGGACCUGUGGGAGAGCAGCCUGGUGAGUUAGUGAUUUGUAGAGGGCAGGGGGAGACUGAGUAGAGGCUGUAAGACUCUUUAGGGACUGAAGACAGACCCUUAGGGCGGGGAGGCUGUGGCCAGCUGGAGAUUUGGUGUUUGUUUCACUUUGAUACCUCAGAAGGGGUGGAUUAGUUCUUUUAUGGUCAAUGGGCCACGUCACUGCAGCAACCAACCCAGGCAGGAGGAAUAAACUCCGUGAAAGGGAAACUGAGGCAGCAUCUAGCCCUGAACCAGACCAGGUCGGUGGUGUUGCUACAUUUGGCAAUAAAGGAUCAACCAUGGGACACUCCACAUGCAUCUGGGUAUUGUUGGAAUGACCCACCCCCAGUCUGGGAGGGCUGUGAAGUGCUGUGUGCUCACACACAGACGCACACAUUAGCACAGCCAAGCAGCAUGGGAGGGAUUGGAAAGGUCGGCCCUUUUUCAGGCCCCGAUUCCACACCCAAAUCAGCGAUCUUGCAGCCUAAUGCUAGCUCUGUUCCAAUACCAGCGAAAUAAGUUCCAACACCCGGCAUAAGCUUUUCAUCCAGCAAUUGGCAUCCACCGCUGCCUUAAUGCAUUUGUUUAAUCUCCUGCAGACGUCUCUGUGUUCUUCUGAGAGAAUAGGAAAUCGGGAGACUUUUGAAGUUGUCUCCAUGCAGCCUAGUAAAUUCUUAUUUAAAUGCUUUGA